AACUUGAAAUGACACCGUCUUAAUGGAUUAUUUAUCUUCUUUGGCCAUCACCAUUGAAGCAGCACCACUCUUCCAUAGCUUCCAACUUCAAAGAUUCUUGCUUUCUGUUUGGUAAAGAGUGUUUCAUGCUUCUUUGUGAUUUGUACAAGUUGGUUUGCACUUUUAUUUGGUUUCCAUUUGAUUAUUUGCUCUACAAAUUUGAUGGUUUGUGGUAAUUUUGCAUAACAAUUAUCAUGGAAGCAACUGCUAUUAACACAUUCCCUAGUUUCCAGAUACCUACUUCCAAUAUCACAAUGAGAAAUUACUUGCUUCUUGAUCCUGCAAGGACUGCAUUUUUAACUAGUAAUCCAAAAAUAAAGUUAUUUUCCAAGUUUCAUAUACUAUCCCCCAAAACUUAUUGCUUAGGGACUAAAACUUUGGUUGAAAAUCAAGAAGAAGAAGAAGAUGAUGAUAGUGAUAAAAAUCGGGUCGAUGAGGACCUCACCAAUGUGGAUUGGAAAGCAAAGUUCCUUGGAAAGAUGGAGACAUCUGGAGAUGUUAUUCCUGAGAAAAAGAAAAAGAAAAUAAAAUCAAGAUUGCUUAAGGAGACUGAAACAAUGGAUUGGUGUAUGAAUGCUAGGAAAGUUGCUCUCAAGUCUAUUGAAGCUAGGGGAUUGACUCCUGUUAUAAAGAAUAUGGUUAGUGGCAAUAAAAAGACCAAAACAAAGAAGAAGAAAAUUAAAUCCAAGGUUGAUAAGAAAAACUCAAAUGAAGAAAUUGAUGUAGACGCGGAAUUCGACUCUGAUGAUGAAGAUUUGGAUUUGGAUGGUGAAGUUCCUAUGGGCAAUAGAAGUGACCUUAGGAGGAAUGUAAGCAUUUUUGCUGAUGGUAUGUUUGAGGAACAGAAAGCUAAAACCAUGGAAACAUUUGUCCAACGGUUAUCUGAGUUUGCAGGACCAUCGGAUCGUAAGAAAGAGAUUAGCUUGAAUAAAGCGAUUGUUGAAGCAAUGACAGCUGAAGAAGUGUUAGAAGUUACUGCUGAGACUGUGUCAGCCGUUGCGAAAGGGCUCAGCCCUUCGCCUCUUUCUCCAUUUAAUAUAGCCACGUCGUUGCAUAGGAUAGCGAAGAACAUGGAGAAAGUGUCAAUGACUAGGAGUAGACGGUUGGCGUUUGCUCGCCAAAGAGAGAUGUGUAUGCUUGUAAGCAUUGCUAUGACUGCUUUGCCUGAGUGCUCAGCCCAAGGUGUUUCAAAUAUCGCGUGGGCACUGUCGAAGAUUGGUGGCGAGCUUCUUUAUUUGACAGAAAUGGACAGAGUGGCAGAAGUAGUGUCAACUAUGGUUGAUGAGUUCAAUUCACAAAAUGUUGCUAAUAUAGCUGGGGCGUUUGCGUCAAUGCAGCAUUCUGCUCCAGAACUAUUUUCGGGGUUAGCAAGGAGGGCCUCAGACAUAAUUCAUACUUUUCAGCCUCAAGAGAUUGCUCAAGUCUUGUGGGCUUUUGCUUCUCUCUAUGAGCAAGCUGGUCCCAUGCUUGAUGCACUUGAUAAUGUUUUUAGUGACGCUAAUCAAUUCAAAUGUAGCUUGAGUAAAGAAAGAACACCAGAUGUUGAUUCUGGAGAAAUUAACAAUCCCGUGCUAGUUUUUAACAGGGAUCAGCUAGGUAACAUAGCAUGGUCUUAUGCUGUUCUUGGGCAGAUGAAUCGAGCUUUCUUUGCCAAUGUAUGGAACACUCUCAGCUAUUUUGAGGAGCAACGGAUAUCUGAACAGUAUAGAGAAGAUAUCAUGUUUGCUUCCCAAGUUCAUCUUGUGAACCAAUGUCUCAAGCUAGAGUACUCACAUCUUGACUUAUCCCUAAAAGGAGAACUGGAGGAAAAAAUUUCCAGUGCUGGAAGGACAAAACGGUUUAAUCAGAAGGUUACUUCCUCAUUUCAGAAGGAGGUUGCUCGCCUUCUUGUCAGCACUGGGUUAGAUUGGGUAAAAGAAUAUGCGGUGGAUGGUUAUACUCUGGACGCAGCGGUCAUUGACAAAAGAGUUGCUCUUGAGAUAGACGGCCCUACUCAUUUCUCAAGGAACUCAGGAUCGCCCUUGGGACAUACAAUGCUAAAACGGAGAUCUAUCGCUGCUGCUAGUUGGAAGCUCAUAUCUGUCCCUCAUCAGGAAUGGGAAGAGCUCAGAGGAGGGUUUGAGCAGUUAGAGUAUCUCCGCGGCAUUAUCAAAGAUCAUUCCGAUGAAGGGAGCUUCAUUGUGGAAGAUGGUCAUUGAAGUAUAGAAUAGGAAAACCAGUAGCUGUAUCUUAUUGUGCUUCAGUCAUUCCUUCUUCAUUCCUCUGUCAUAUAGCACAUGCUGAGAUGCAACUCCCAACAAAAGCUGGGUGCUCUUUGUUCAAUAACACAGUGAAGACAUAGCCAGAUUGAUGAAGUUCAGCAAUAAGUAAAUCAUCUUACCUUCGGUGGAGGACAAGUGCGACUGAAAUUAGAUUGACGUAGUAAACCUGUUUAUUUUUCUUAUGUCCUGCAUCAACGCAACAAAUAUUCUUUCUCUGUUGGGGUGACGAUAUUCCUAUUGUGAUUUGUGAAGUCCUGUUGGUUAGGUAGUACUGAGUCACGUGUACUUAAUGAUAGAGAUUUACGAGCUUCCUACUAAAUAUCAACCCUUGAUGUUGUUGAGAUUUCUUUAAUGUUUUAUGGAGUUGUAUGCUUGUAAUAGAAGCGCUUGUACAGUACGAGACAUGCAGAUGCUAGACGGGACUAAACUUUGUAUAAAGUACAUACAUCAUACUGCGCUAACAAAAUACACGCAACCUUUUAUUGUAGAUUCAAAAUACAUGCUGCUGAUAUUUCAAGUGGUUCUGCAGCUACUGGCUUUUUAUGCAGGUUUCUUUCUUGCUGUGCAGUUGUUCCUGUGUUCUGAGACAAUCUGGCUAAAUCUAUAUGCAACUCACUAAUUUCCUUAAGGGGUAAAAGCGAAGGCCAAUUUAGGGCCUUUCCAAGGUAACCGGUUAGGUUGACUUAGGAAAGGCCACUCCCAAAGGAUUGACCACUAUUCAUUCAAAAAUAUAAUAAGCCGGAGAACUGUUGUUCAGUGGAGUGCAGAGGUUGUUCCCAUCAUUGAAGUUAGGGUGUGGAAGAGCUGUCGGCAGAAUGAAAAUGCAGUCUGCAUAUACUUUCUCAAAAAAAAAGAAAAAAGAAAAAAAAAGCAGUCUGCAUAUAACUCAUGGGAAAAUAAUCUGGAAAAUCUUGACAAAGAAUUUAGUUUUGCUUCAGGGAUUGAGACUGAUGCUAUAAUGUAGUUUUUGUGUUUGUAAACUAUUUUGUGCAAACUGAACUGCUAGGCUUUUUCCUUGGCCA